rnacentral:rRNA from 1 species
AGUCCACAUCGACGGGGCGGUUUGGCACCUCGAUGUCGGCUCAUCACAUCCUGGGGCUGUAGUAGGUCCCAAGGGUUGGGCUGUUCGCCCAUUAAAGUGGUACGCGAGCUGGGUUCAGAACGUCGUGGGACAGUUCGGUCCCUAUCCGUCGCAGGCGUAGGAAAUUUGAGAAGACCUGUCCUUAGUACGAGAGGACCGGGAUGGACGUACCUCUGGUGUACCAGUUGU